rnacentral:lncRNA from 1 species
UUGAAUGAAUGAUGUUCAUUAAUCAUGAUAAGCUUGGUGGUUGCAGAAAGACAUCAGUGGCAGAGAGCUCAGACUACCGUAGACACGAAUCCCCGAACCCGAUCUACCACGAUGGCUUUCUCUGGAGGAAAUAUGGACAAAAGCAGAUCAAAGAAUCAAAUCACCAAAGGUAAUACAUAUCAUUCACUAUGAUAAAAUAUAUAUAUAUAUAUAUAUAUAUUCAUGUAGUAGUUUUCAUUAAAAAAAAAGGAAUGAUGAAAUGGUAGGAGCUACUACAAGUGUGCGUACACUAAAGACCAGAAUUGUGAAGCAAAGAAGCAGGUUCAGAUGAUUCAAAACAAUCCUCCAUUAUACUCAACCACUUACUUCGGCCACCACACGUGCCAACUUCACCAAGCCUAUGCAACUUUCCCCGGGGACACCUCUGACCCGCAGGAUUCCCACAUGAUCCGAUUUGAUCACCCAGACUCCUCCAUCCAUCAAC